rnacentral:rRNA from 1 species
GAUGAACGCUGGCGGCGUGCCUAGUACAUGCAAGUCGAGCGAACAGACGAGGAGCUUGCUCCUCUGACGUUAGCGGCGGACGGGUGAGUAACACGUGGAUAACCUACCUAUAAGACUGGGAUAACUUCGGGAAACCGGAGCUAAUACCGGAUAAUAUAUUGAACCGCAUGGUUCAAUAGUGAAAGACGGUUUUGCUGUCACUUAUAGAUGGAUCCGCGCCGCAUUAGCUAGUUGGUAAGGUAACGGCUUACCAAGGCGACGAUGCGUAGCCGACCUGAGAGGGUGAUCGGCCACACUGGAACUGAGACACGGUCCAGACUCCUACGGGAGGCAGCAGUAGGGAAUCUUCCGCAAUGGGCGAAAGCCUGACGGAGCAACGCCGCGUGAGUGAUGAAGGUCUUCGGAUCGUAAAACUCUGUUAUUAGGGAAGAACAAAUGUGUAAGUAACUAUGCACGUCUCGACGGUACCUAAUCAGAAAGCCACGGCUAACUACGUG